rnacentral:rRNA from 1 species
AUUGAACGCUGGCGGCAGGCCUAGCACAUGCAAGUCGAACGGUAACAGGAAACAGCUUGCUGUUUCGCUGACGAGUGGCGGACGGGUGAGUAAUGUCUGGGAAACUGCCUGAUAGAGGGGGAUAACUACUGGAAACGGUAGCUAAUACCGCAUAACGUCGCAAGACCAAAGAGGGGGACCUUCGGGCCUCUUGCCAUCGGAUGUGCCCAGAUGGGAUUAGCUAGUAGGUGGGGUAACGGCUCACCUAGGCGACGAUCCCUAGCUGGUCUGAGAGGAUGACCAGCCACACUGGAACUGAGACACGGUCCAGACUCCUACGGGAGGCAGCAGUGGGGAAUAUUGCACAAUGGGCGCAAGCCUGAUGCAGCCAUGCCGCGUGUAUGAAGAAGGCCUUCGGGUUGUAAAGUACUUUCAGCGGGGAGGAAGGGAGUAAAGUCAAUACCUUUGCUCAUUGACGUUACCCGCAGAAGAAGCACCGGCUAACUCCGUGCCAGCCGCCGCCGUAA